rnacentral:rRNA from 1 species
AUACGUAGGGGGCGAGCGUUGUCCGGAAUGAUUGGGCGUAAAGGGCGCGUAGGCGGGGUUUUAAGUAGGGUGUGAAAACUAACGGCUCAACCGAUAGACUGCAUCCUAAACUGGGACUCUUGAGGGCAGGAGAGGAAAGUGGAAUUCCUAGUGUAGCGGUGAAAUGCGUAGAUAUUAGGAGGAACACCAGUGGCGAAGGCGACUUUCUGGACUGUACCUGACGCUGAGGCGCGAAAGCGUGGGGAGCAAACAGGAUUAGAUACCCUGGUAGUCCACACUGUAAACGAUGAAUGCUAGGUGUAGGGGGUAUCGACCCCUUCUGUGCCGCAGUCAACACAAUAAGCAUUCCGCCUGGGGAGUACGGCCGCAAGGUUGAAACUCAAAUGAAUUGACGGGG